GAUGAACGCUGGCGGCGUGCCUAAUACAUGCAAGUCGAGCGAAUGGAUUAAGAGCUUGCUCUUAUGAAGUUAGCGGCGGACGGGUGAGUAACACGUGGGUAACCUGCCCAUAAGACUGGGAUAACUCCGGGAAACCGGGGCUAAUACCGGAUAACAUUUUGAACCGCAUGGUUCGAAAUUGAAAGGCGGCUUCGGCUGUCACUUAUGGAUGGACCCGCGUCGCAUUAGCUAGUUGGGGAGGUAACGGCUCACCAAGGCAACGAUGCGUAGCCGACGUGAGGGGGUGAGCGGCCACACUGGGACUGAGACACGGCCAAGACUCCUACGGGAGGCAGCAGUAGGGAAUCUUCCGCAAUGGACGAAAGUCUGACGGAGCAACGCCGCGUGAGUGAUGAAGGCUUUCGGGUCGUAAAACUCUGUUGUUAGGGAAGAACAAGUGCUAGUUGAAUAAGCUGGCACCUUGACGGUACCUAACCAGAAAGCCACGGCUAACUACGUGCCAGCCGCCGCGGUAA
rnacentral:rRNA from 1 species